CAUUUUAUUAUAACCAGGGUGCGAUUUGUAGUCAGGGAUUGUCCCCCCUUGUGGUCUUGAUAUCGCCACUUUUUCUGCAUGAUUUUAUCACAGUUCAAUGUAAUUCCAUUGAUAUCGCUUACAAUCUGAAACAUAUUCCCCCUUCUGGUUUUCCAGAUCACAAAUCGCACCCUGAUUAUAACCAUUGCAUUACUCUGGUUAUACAGUAGCCCACUACUUUUCAUUACAUGUAAUGAUGUAGAGAUCUAGAGCUAAUAUAAUGCUUCUCCCAGUAGGCCUAGUGGAUCCACACCGUGACCUAAGUGCACUGGACCCUGUUGAUAUGCAGCCACCUCAGCUUCAUGAAGAAACGGCAAGAUUCAGAUGACUACACCGUUUCAGAUCUACUCAUCUCGCUCACCUGUCCACCUGGAUGAAGGAUCACACUCUGCAGCUGAACAUGUCCAAAACCAAGCUCCCAAUCAAAUUGUUCUAGGUUAAUCUCUAACAACAACCUUUUUCUUCCUGCA